rnacentral:misc_RNA from 1 species
CUGUUCGAGCGUCAUUACAACCCUCAAGCACUGCUUGGUAUUGGAUGUCACCCUUGUGGUACAUCUUAAAAGUAUUGGCAGUAGCAUUCAGCUUCUAGUGUAGUUAAUUUCUCGCUUUGGAGUUAAAUGUUCUAACUGCUAGAACCCCUAAUUUUUCGAAGGUUGACCUCGGAUCAGGUAGGGAUACCCGCUGAACUUAA